CCUCUCCCUUCUAGCACUGAUGAUGUUCCCUAGUUGGGUCAUGAAAUGCCUACAAGAAAACAACUAUCCUCGGAGAACACCACGAUUGAACGCUGAGCUACAAAUAUUCUCUCCUAUCGGUAACGGGAUUUCUUGUUUGUUUUCCACCAGAAUUCUUUGGCAUAACCAGUUGGGCACAAUUACUUGCCGUUUUCUUAGCGGUGGUAGCUCUGGCCCUGUUCUCCCUGCUGAUGGGUUUCCUUAACAUCUAUAUCCAGAAGGCCGACACAUUAAAUGCCCAAACUCUCCUGAUGAGGACCAGGGAGAAAAGGCUGAACGAUGCUAUCAAACUGUUGGCGGGAGACCAAGGUCAACACUGCAAACCCUGCGGGGACUACACCUGGCUGCAACGGGCGGAAGGCUGCUACCGAUGGACGGAUGGCUUGAUGCCCUGGAGAACCUGCGAGGACGAAUGCCAGAGGCAGGGAGGCCGGCUGGUCAAGGCCGACACGGAAGGGGAAAUGAGUCUUCCUGAUCAAGAGGUGAACUCUACUCCAACAUUUCUUUACGUGAAUGGGUGGACGUUGCCAAGGAAUUCCUGCUCCGAGAGUCCCACAAAUGGGUCAUCCUGGUUAACCACAGCUACGUCCUGCAGAGGACCUGGAUCGGUUUGUUCUUCAACCUGUCUCGGGGGACCUGGCACUGGGCAGACGGAGGCUUCCUGCACCUCCGGAUUCGGAGAAUGCUGGCCUUAGCCUGACUCCUGAAGGGACACCAAGUCCUGCUUUAAAGAGCAGCCGAUGUUAGAGUACAGAGAACACACCCGUCCCGGUGGUCCUGGACAUACGACAGUUUGUUUAGUGGCCGUUCAAAGUUACAACGGUUAUAUUGUAUUAAAUUUGUAAAACUUUUAAUAAAAGAAAAAAUAUAAAAAAGUUACAACGGCGCUGAAAAAAGGGACUCGUGACUGGUUUCCACGCAGCAUCCCCACCACGGAGCUCAAAAUUCCUGUUGCUAAGUGGGACAGUCCUUCAGUCUGUACAGCUAACGAAGCCCUUUGUCCCCAGAGACAGUUGCGUGGCGAUUAGCAAGGGAAAGGCCUUCACCAGGCCCUGCACUGAGGAGAUCAGCUGUCUGUGCAAGCAAGUCAUGCUUUGAAACCAUCAACGCGAACCCCAAAAUGUCCUUUUUUCCUCUUAUGCAAUGGCGGCUCGCUCCUCAAGUGGCCCAUGGUGAUCCCAGGAAACGAAAAUGCCCAACGACAUCUCUUGUUCUUCCAAGAAGUCAGAUGCCUGUAUCAAGGGCUUGCCAUCCCUUCGAUCUUUGCUAAUUUAGGCUGGCCUUUUAUAUCUCCCGAAUGCUGAUUUUUCACCGCUUUCUCUUGUCACCUUUAGGAAAUUUAAAGUGUUUCGCGGUGACCGUUGGUGUUUAUUUACCUUUUUCAGGGACUUCUAGGUUUUUUUUUUUUUUUAGCCUUGCCAUUCCAGUUUUGCUCAAUGUUAGCGCAUUGACGGGUUGAUAAAUUUCAAAGUACUGUAUAUAAAUAUAUCUAUAUAGGUCUUUGGUUAUUCGGGUUUUCUCCCGCGUCAAAUUGGAAGUGUCUUGGCGACGUUUUGACGAAGUCUCAUUCGUCAUCUUCA